GGCAGCUACCAUGCAGUCGAGCGCGAACGUUUCUUCGGAAACAAGUAGAGCGGCGGACGGGUGAGUAACGCGUGGGAAUCUACCCAGUAGCGGGGGAUAACAUGGAGAAAUUCAUGCUAAUACCGCAUACGCCCUACGGGGGAAAGGAGGGGAUCUUCGGACCUUUCACUAUUGGAGGAGCCCGCGUGAGAUUAGAUAGUUGGUGGGGUAAUGGCCUACCAAGUCGACGAUCUCUAGCUGGUCUGAGAGGAUGAUCAGCCACACUGGAACUGAGACACGGUCCAGACUCCUACGGGAGGCAGCAGUGGGGAAUAUUGCACAAUGGGCGAAAGCCUGAUGCAGCCAUGCCGCGUGUGUGAAGAAGGCCCUAGGGUUGUAAAGCACUUUCAAUUGGGAGGAAAGGUUAACGGUUAAUACCCGUUAGCUGUGACGUUACCUUUAGAAGAAGCACCGGCAAACUCCGUGCCAGCAGCCGCGGUAAUACGGAGGGUGCGAGCGUUAAUCGGAAUUACUGGGCGUAAAGCGCGCGUAGGCGGAUAAUUAAGUCAGCUGUGAAAGCCCCGGGCUCAACCUGGGAACUGCAGUUGAUACUGGUUAUCUAGAGUACAGUAGAGGGUGGCGGAAUUUCCUGUGUAGCGGUGAAAUGCGUAGAUAUGGGAAGGAACAUCAGUGGCGAAGGCGGCCACCUGGACUGAUACUGACGCUGAGGUGCGAAAGCGUGGGGAGCGAACAGGAUUAGAUACCCUGGUAGUCCACGCCGUAAACGAUGUCAACUAGCCGUUGGGGGACUUGAUCCUUUAGUGGCGCAGCAAACGCAAUAAGUUGACCGCCUGGGGAGUACGGCCGCAAGGUUAAAACUCAAAUG
rnacentral:rRNA from 1 species